AAGACUAUACUUUCAGGGAUCAUUUCUAGAGUUUCUACUUUGAAAAAUGUGUUUCUAAAGUGUUUCGUCUCGCUGCUCAUGAUGAUGACUCGUGAUAUUCCUUUCUGAGCGUGAAGCUGACAAAGCGUAAUGAUUCACUUCAUGUGCUUUCUGUCAUUGAUGAUCGUUCUUUGCUUCUGUAUGGAGUAUUGAGGAAGGGAAUAUGAUCAGAGUGGU